AACGACUUGAGAACAGCAAACAACCAUUCCAGGAGUUAAACCACAACCAACAUGUCGUCAUCACAUGCGUGGGAGACGAGCUGAGUGGUACGAAGCCUUGUGUUGAGCCUGUUGCUACUGAAUGCAACGCGGCUGACCGAGCGCCAAGUAAAGCAGAAAACCUGCGUCGUCCGUCAUCUAAAAGCAGAGAGGCUUUUUGUUCCAGUCGGAGCCGCAGUCACCCCGCCAGACCCAUUUCCCUCCAAAACUCCCAUCACUUUAUCGGGAACAAAGAACAAGAAUCGGUUUUUGACCCCCUGGAAAUGGUUACGUUUUGAGGCAUGUGUGUGGGAUUGUCACGCUGGAGUCUUCACCAUGAUUCAUCUUGUGGCUGCGGGAAGAACAGUUUAUGCCACACGGACCGGUUCAUUGGUCUUCAGGAGCUAUAAAGUCAUCAGAGAACCACCCUGAAGUACUCAGAUGUUUACAGGCCAGCUUCAGGCAGGUCUGUGCCUGCGUCUCUUAUAACAGCAUUAAUUGCAUCCAUCACAGCGUUGCGUGUUGCCAGUGUUGUCAUGGUUGUCACAGUCCCAACUGCCUUUGGAUCAUUAACAAGCUCCUGUCUUCUUUCUGGUCAAACACGCCAACAGUGUUUACCUCUUAGCGAGCCGCUUGCUAAUUGUCUUGUUGCUCAUUUCAGACGUACAGGGGAAAAACAUACUCUGCUUCAAAUUCAUUACAAGUAAAAGUCAAGAGUUUCUGUAAUUUAUUGACUGGUUGUUUUCCGUAUGCCACGUGGGUUCAGGAAUCUGAAAUCCUAGAUUUAGUGUUGAUUUUUUUCAAAUGCUUAUUUCACUCAAUGACACGCAGAUCGGUUCAUCGGCCUCAUGGAUCGUUGCUUGAAGCAGCGCUGCAGAAGGCCUGCUAACAGCGCGUGGUGCUGGAACAUGAAGCUGGCGCAGAUUAACAGUGUGUAAGGCCUUGUUGCACAUAUUCACAUCAUUUUCAUUUUCACAAUAAUGGAUCAAACCUCAGCUCUUUAUCAGUCUCCCACUUUGAGCCAUGAGUCAAAUCCAAACCUGAAUAAGUCGAUAUGUUUACGUAACAAUACAUUUUUUUUUUUAAAAAUCGAUCAAACAGACACAGAACAUAAAUGGCAGAGAAUCUAUCAGAUUGCACAUGCUGGAUCCUUGCCUGUUCAAAGCAUGAUCUCUCUCUCUGUUUCUCUUUCUCUUUUUUUCUUCUCUCUCUCUCUCUCUCUCUCUCUUUGAAGGAGGCCCUGCGGCUAUUCAGAGCUUUAAUCUCAUAAUGGCUUCAAUAACAGCAACCUUAUCUUUGUGACAGCUAUUUCAAAGGCCUGGCAGGUUUGAUGUACUGUACACCACAAUGCACACUAACAGCACAACACAGACCCAGGGGAAUAUAUUAUGAAAUGCCUUUUGUCAGAGGAAAUUAGGAGGGAGAGAGGAUGGGGGUAGGAGGGACAAAACUGGUAAAAAGGGUCGGAUUUUCGUAAAAAAGAAAAUUGUGAUUGGUGCGAAGCUUGUAACCCGAAGAAAGACGAAGCUGCAUGACGGUUGCUGCUUUGCCAGGAGGUUAGCUUGCCAAAAAUAAUUAGUGAGUUAAAGCAAUUAAUUCAAAUUUUUUGUGUGUGUUCGUUUAAGCCACAAAAGAUCGUUGUUAAGGAAUUUGUGUUGAAUCACAACCCACCUUUAUAUUGAACUUCUGAAGAAGAAACCAGAAUUGAAUUUAACGUGAUAAAAUCUGUAUAUAAAAUUUGAACAAAGAUGCAAUGCCUUUCUUACUUGUAAGACACAUAGGCCUGUCACACUAAUCAAUAAAUCAAUUAAUCACAUGAUAAGUUAAAACAAACUCGAUCAUUUUCACUUGUGUAAUUUAUUGUUUUUUUGUCUUUUUAUUACCAAAAACCAGGUGAUAAAAGCAUCAAGUCUGGUCUCAACUGGCCCUUAUUUUGAAGGACAGUUUUGUUUACAGACGCUUCAGUGUCCAUUUCAUGUGUUUCUGUUUUGUUUAUUUAUUUUUGGAUAUUUAAAAUGUCUUCCAGUUCAGGUGGUAAAUGUUGAUCACAAUUUAAAGCUUAUGGAUCUGUAAAGUGCAUUCCCUGCAUUAUUAUUCUUAC